UACAGAGGUCUCAAGCGUUGUUCGGAUUCAUUGGGCGUAAAGGGUGUGUAGGUGGCGCCGUAAGUCGGGUGUGAAAUCUCGGGGCUUAACUCCGAAACUGCAUUCGAUACUGCGGUGCUUGAGGACUGGAGAGGAGACUGGAAUUCAUGGUGUAGCAGUGAAAUGCGUAGAGAUCAUGAGGAAGACCAGUGGCGAAGGCGGGUCUCUGGACAGUUCCUGACACUGAGACACGAAGGCCAGGGGAGCGAACGGG
rnacentral:rRNA from 1 species